UACGAAGGGGGCUAGCGUUGCUCGGAAUCACUGGGCGUAAAGCGCACGUAGGCGGAUUGCUAAGUCAGGGGUGAAAUCCUGGAGCUCAACUCCAGAACUGCCCUUGAUACUGGCGGUCUCGAGUCCGGGGAGAGGUGAGUGGAACUGCGAGUGUAGAGGUGAAAUUCGUAGAUAUUCGCAGGAACACCAGUGGCGAAGGCGGCUCACUGGCCCGGUACUGACGCUGAGGUGCGAAAAGCGUGGGGGAGCAAACA
rnacentral:rRNA from 1 species